rnacentral:rRNA from 1 species
CUACGGAGGUUGCAAGCGUUAAUCGGAAUUACUGGGCGUAAAGCGCGCGUAGGCGGCUUGAUAAGUCGGAUGUGAAAUCCCCGGGCUUAACCUGGGAAUUGCAUUCGAUACUGUCAGGCUAGAGUGUGGUAGAGGGAAGUGGAAUUUCCGGUGUAGCGGUGAAAUGCGUAGAUAUCGGAAAGAACAUCAGUGGCGAAGGCGGCUUCCUGGAUCAACACUGACGCUGAGGUGCGAAAGCGUGGGGAGCAAACAGGAUUAGAAACCCUAGUAGUCC